rnacentral:rRNA from 1 species
GACGAACGCUGGCGGCGUGCUUAACACAUGCAAGUCGAACGGAAAGGCCCUGCUUUUGUGGGGUGCUCGAGUGGCGAACGGGUGAGUAACACGUGAGUAACCUGCCCUUGACUUUGGGAUAACUUCAGGAAACUUGGGCUAAUACCGGAUAGGAGCUCCUGCUGCAUGGUGGGGGUUGGAAAGUUUCGGCGGUUGGGGAUGGACUCGCGGCUUAUCAGCUUGUUGGUGGGGUAGUGGCUUACCAAGGCUUUGACGGGUAGCCGGCCUGAGAGGGUGACCGGCCACAUUGGGACUGAGAUACGGCCCAGACUCCUACGGGAGGCAGCAGUGGGGAAUAUUGCACAAUGGGCGGAAGCCUGAUGCAGCAACGCCGCGUGCGGGAUGACGGCCUUCGGGCUGUAAACCGCUUUCGCCUGUGACGAAGCGUGAGUGACGGUAAUGGGUAAAGAAGCACCGGCUAACUACGUG